UACGUAGGGUGCGAGCGUUAAUCGGAAUUACUGGGCGUAAAGCGUGCGCAGGCGGUUCGUUGUGUCCGAUGUGAAAGCCCCGAGCUCAACCUGGGAAUGGCAUUGAAAACUGGCGGACUCGAGUGUGGCAGAGGGGGGUGGAAUUCCGCGUGUAGCAGUGAAAUGCGUAGAGAUGCGGAGGAACACCGAUGGCGAAGGCAGCCCCCUGGGCUAACACUGACGCUCAGGCACGAAAGCGUGGGGAGCAAACAGG
rnacentral:rRNA from 1 species